rnacentral:rRNA from 1 species
AGAUGUUUGAUCCUGGCUCAGGACGAACGCUGGCGGCGUGCUUAACACAUGCAAGUCGAACGAUGAUGCCCAGCUUGCUGGGCGGAUUAGUGGCGAACGGGUGAGUAAUACGUGAGUAACCUGCCCUUGACUCUGGGAUAAGCCUGGGAAACUGGGUCUAAUACUGGAUACUACCUCUUACCGCAUGGUGGGUGGUGGAAAGGGUUUUACUGGUUUUGGAUGGGCUCACGGCCUAUCAGCUUGUUGGUGGGGUAAUGGCUCACCAAGGCGACGACGGGUAGCCGGCCUGAGAGGGUGACCGGCCACACUGGGACUGAGACACGGCCCAGACUCCUACGGGAGGCAGCAGUGGGGAAUAUUGCACAAUGGGCGGAAGCCUGAUGCAGCGACGCCGCGUGAGGGAUGACGGCCUUCGGGUUGUAAACCUCUUUCAGUAGGGAAGAAGCGAGAGUGACGGUACCUGCAGAAGAAGCGCCGGCUAACUACGUGCCAGCAGCCGCGGUAAUACGUAGGGCGCAAGCGUUGUCCGGAAUUAUUGGGCGUAAAGAGCUCGUAGGCGGUUUGUCGCGUCUGCUGUGAAAGCCCGGGGCUCAACCCCGGGUCUGCAGUGGGUACGGGCAGACUAGAGUGCAGUAGGGGAGACUGGAAUUCCUGGUGUAGCGGUGAAAUGCGCAGAUAUCAGGAGGAACACCGAUGGCGAAGGCAGGUCUCUGGGCUGUUACUGACGCUGAGGAGCGAAAGCAUGGGGAGCGAACAGGAUUAGAUACCCUGGUAGUCCAUGCCGUAAACGUUGGGCACUAGGUGUGGGGGACAUUCCACGUUUUCCGCGCCGUAGCUAACGCAUUAAGUGCCCCGCCUGGGGAGUACGGCCGCAAGGCUAAAACUCAAAGGAAUUGACGGGGGCCCGCACAAGCGGCGGAGCAUGCGGAUUAAUUCGAUGCAACGCGAAGAACCUUACCAAGGCUUGACAUUCACCGGACCGCCCCAGAGAUGGGGUUUCCCUUCGGGGCUGGUGGACAGGUGGUGCAUGGUUGUCGUCAGCUCGUGUCGUGAGAUGUUGGGUUAAGUCCCGCAACGAGCGCAACCCUCGUUCUAUGUUGCCAGCACGUGAUGGUGGGGACUCAUAGGAGACUGCCGGGGUCAACUCGGAGGAAGGUGGGGAUGACGUCAAAUCAUCAUGCCCCUUAUGUCUUGGGCUUCACGCAUGCUACAAUGGCCGGUACAAAGGGUUGCGAUACUGUGAGGUGGAGCUAAUCCCAAAAAGCCGGUCUCAGUUCGGAUUGAGGUCUGCAACUCGACCUCAUGAAGUCGGAGUCGCUAGUAAUCGCAGAUCAGCAACGCUGCGGUGAAUACGUUCCCGGGCCUUGUACACACCGCCCGUCAAGUCACGAAAGUUGGUAACACCCGAAGCCGGUGGCCUAACCCCUUGUGGGAGGGAGCCGUCGAAGGUGGGACUGGCGAUUGGGACUAAGUCGUAACAAGGUAACC